rnacentral:piRNA from 1 species
UUUGUAUUUAAAACUUUGAAA